AUUGAACGCUGGCGGCAGGCCUAACACAUGCAAGUCGAGCGGAGCGGCGGUCGGGUGAGUGAUGACUAGGUAUCUGCCUGCUCGUGGGGGAUGAAGUCCGGAAGCGGACGCUAACUCCGACUACUCUCAGUCGAGCCUAGGUCUGAUUAGCUAGUUGGUGGGUUAAAGGCCAACCAAGGCGACGAUCCGUAACUGGUCUGAGAGGAUGAUCAGUCACACUGGAACUGAGACACGGUCCAGACUCCUACGGGAGGCAGCAGUGGGGAAUAUUGGACAAUGGGCGAAAGCCUGAGGCAGCCAUGCCGCGUGUGUGAAGAAGGUCUUCGGAUUGUAAAGCACUUUAAGUUGGGAGGCGUUACCAACAGAAUAAGCACCGGCUAACUUCGUGCCAGCAGCCGCGGUAAUAC
rnacentral:rRNA from 1 species